rnacentral:rRNA from 1 species
CGAUUAGGGUUCGAUUCUGGCUCAGGACGAACGCUGGCGGCGUGCCUAACACAUGCAAGUCGAACGGUCCAGCACUCAAGCUUGCUUGAGUGCUGGGUAGUGGCGAACGGGUGAGUAACACGUGGGUGACCUACCCGGGAGACCGGGAUAACAGUUCGAAAGGGCUGCUAAUACCGGAUGACAUCACAGGAUUUUGAAGUUUUGUGAUCAAAGCGAUUUAGCGCUCCUGGAUGGGCCCGCGUCCCAUUAGCUAGUUGGUAGGGUAACGGCCUACCAAGGCGACGAUGGGUAGCCGGUCUGAGAGGAUGUCCGGCCACACUGGGACUGAGACACGGCCCAGACUCCUACGGGAGGCAGCAGUGGGGAAUUUUGCGCAAUGGGGGGAACCCUGACGCAGCGACGCCGCGUGGGUGAUGAAGGCCUUCGGGUCGUAAAGCCCUGUCUGGGGGGAAGAUAGUGACGGUACCCCCGGAGGAAGCCCCGGCUAACUACGUGCCAGCAGCCGCGGUAAGACGUGGGGGGCGAGCGUUGUCCGGAAUUACUGGGCGUAAAGGGCGUGUAGGCGGCCUGCCAAGUCAGCUGUGAAAUUCCCCGGCUCAACCGGGGGACUGCAGUUGAAACUGGUGGGCUUGAGUGCAGGAGAGGAGGGUGGAAUUCCUGGUGUAGCGGUGAAAUGCGUAGAUAUUGGGAGGAACACCAGUGGCGAAGGCGACUGCCUGGACGAAAACUGACGC